CCUACGGGGGGCAGCAGUGAGGAAUAUUGGUCAAUGGACGAGAGUCUGAACCAGCCAAGUAGCGUGAAGGAUGACUGCCCUAUGGGUUGUAAACUUCUUUUAUAUGGGAAUAAAACAGGGUAUGCAUACCCUCUUGUAUGUACCAUAUGAAUAAGGAUCGGCUAACUCCGUGCCAGCAGCCGCGGUAAUACGGAGGAUCCGAGCGUUAUCCGGAUUUAUUGGGUUUAAAGGGUGCGUAGGCGGUUCGAUAAGUUAGAGGUGAAAUCCCGCGGCUCAACUCCGGCACUGCCUCUGAUACUGUCGGGCUAGAGUUUAGUUGCGGUAGGCGGAAUGUAUGGUGUAGCGGUGAAAUGCAUAGAGAUCAUACAGAACACCGAUUGCGAAGGCAGCAUGCCGGCUCCACACUGACGCUGAGGCACGAAAGCGUGGGUAUCGAACAGGAUUAGAUACCCCUGUAGUC
rnacentral:rRNA from 1 species